GUAAAUAAAGGGAGUAAUUUCCACAAACAUCAGCUCACAAAACUCCCUGUGUCCACCCUGAGAAAAAUGAUCACAGCUGUCAUGAAAGCUUUGUCAUCUGCCUCAGCACACUGUCUAGUGGCCUGUGGGCCAGCACAGUGACUGCAAGAGCUGGAGGCGGUGUCUGUGCUCAUGGCAGGCACCCAGAGUAUGGGAGGAUGGGCCAGGCUCCCUGGGAAGCAGAAACCAGGGCCAGGUUGACCAAAAGGAGUGCAGGACACAGGGUAAGUUCAAAUUUGCCUUUUUUCUGCCCAGUAAGUAUCUUUUUCCCCAGUCCUGUUCUCAGCCUUGGGCCCUACCCUGCUCCCCAGCCCCACUCCAUCCUCCACCCACUGUCUCUCUUGCACCCUGGCUCUCUCCCCUUGGUGCUAGCCUCAACUCCUGCCUCAAGUUCAUGUGUACAGGAGAGCCCCUGGUCCUGCCCAGCCUGGUGCUCCCAGGGUAUGCUGGAGCCUGCAGAGGACGCUGGCCCUGCCUGACCUCCUCAAGCUGUACUAAGGACACCUAGUCAGGUACCCCCUCAGUGGGCCUGCACAUAGUAUCCUGUUUGGGGACUGGGCUCCUCCUAGUUCCCGAGGGCCACAGCAUCUCACUCUCAGCACUGCCUCCAGGUGCAGAGGCCCGUGUCAGC
rnacentral:lncRNA from 1 species